GGGGAUAUUGCCGGUGGCAGUAAAAGAACGAAAUCGUGAAUCUGUUGUUGAUCAACUUCAGGAGCUGGUUUCUUUGGGCCCCUGCCAAGGCCAACCUCUACAAGGGGCUCCCUUGUCAACACAGAAGAAUCUGGCUUGACCUUCCAGUUGGCUUGCUCUGAG